rnacentral:rRNA from 1 species
AGACCCGAAACCCGGUGAUCUAGCCAUGGGCAGGUUGAAGGUUGGGUAACACUAACUGGAGGACCGAACCGACUAAUGUUGAAAAAUUAGCGGAUGACCUGUGGCUGGGGGUGAAAGGCCAAUCAAACCGGGAGAUAGCUGGUUCUCCCCGAAAGCUAUUUAGGUAGCGCCUCGUGAAUUCAUCUCCGGGGGUAGAGCACUGUUUCGGCUAGGGGGCCAUCCCGGCUUACCAACCCGAUGCAAACUGCGAAUACCGGAGAAUGUUAUCACGGGAGACACACGGCGGGUGCUAACGUCCGUCGUGAAGAGGGAAACAACCCAGACCGCCAGCUAAGGUCCCAAAGUCAUGGUUAAGUGGGAAACGAUGUGGGAAGGCCCAGACAGCCAGGAUGUUGGCUUAGAAGCAGCCAUCAUUUAAAGAAAGCGUAAUAGCUCACUGGUCGAGUCGGCCUGCGCGGAAGAUGUAACGGGGCUAAACCAUGCACCGAAGCUGCGGCAGCGAACGUAUCACCCAAGACAACUUUACGGAGUUGGCGAUUGACGGAG